CCUACGGGAGGCAGCAGUGGGGAAUCUUGCACAAUGGGCGAAACCCUGAUGCAGCGACGCCGCGUGAGGGAAGAAGGACUUCGUUAUGUAAAGCUCUUUCAUAAGGGAAGAAAAUGACGGUACCUGAGGAAGAAGCCCCGGCUAACUACGUGCCAGCAGCCGCGGUAAUACGUAGGGUGCAAGCGUUAUCCGGAUUUACUGGGUGUAAAGGGAGGGUAGACGGAAGUGCAAGUCUGGAGUGAAAGGCGGGGGCUCAACCCUCGGAAUGGUCUGGAAACUGUUAGGCUGGAGUGCAGGAGAGGUAAGUGGAAUUCCUAGUGUAGCGGUGAAAUGCGUAGAUAUUAGGAGGAACACCAGUGGCGAAGGCAGCUUACUGGACUGUAACUGACGUUGAGGCUCGAAAGCGUGGGGAGCAAACAGGAUUAGAUACCCUGGUAGUC
rnacentral:rRNA from 1 species